UACAGAGGUGGCGAGCGUUGCUCGGAAUCACUGGGCUUAAAGGGCGUGCGGGCGGCCCGGCAGGCGUCUUGUGAAAUCCCCCGGCUCAACCGGGGAACGGCUCGACGAACCGCCGGGCUCGAGGGAGGCAGGGGCGACCGGAACUCCGGGUGGAGCGGUGAAAUGCGUAGAUAUCCGGGGGAACGCCGGUGGCGAAAGCGGGUCGCCGGGCCUUACCUGACGCUGAGGCGCGAAAGCCAGGGGAGCGAACGGG
rnacentral:rRNA from 1 species